GAUGAACGCUGGCGGCGUGCCUAAUACAUGCAAGUCGAGCGAACAGACGAGGAGCUUGCUCCUCUGACGUUAGCGGCGGACGGGUGAGUAACACGUGGAUAACCUACCUAUAAGACUGGGAUAACUUCGGGAAACCGGAGCUAAUACCGUAUAAUAUAUUGAACCGCAUGGUUCAAUAGUGAAAGACGGUUUUGCUGUCACUUAUAGAUGGAUCCGCGCCGCAUUAGCUAGUUGGUAAGGUAACGGCUUACCAAGGCAACGAUGCGUAGCCGACCUGAGAGGGUGAUCGGCCACACUGGAACUGAGACACGGUCCAGAAUCCUACGGGAGGCAGCAGUAGGGAAUCUUCCGCAAUGGGCGAAAGCCUGACGGAGCAACGCCGAGUGAGUGAUGAAGGUCUUCGGAUCGUAAAACUCUGUUAUUAGGGAAGAACAAAUGUGUAAGUAACUAUGCACGUCUUGACGGUACCUAAUCAGAAAGCCACGGCUAACUACGUG
rnacentral:rRNA from 1 species